UGGGUCAAUGUUUUGCCAGAUUUAGUAGUGGAGCAAUCAUCCACCAAACAGUCCUCGCGAGCCCUACUUUUCAUUUAAAGCCUUCAAGGUACGAAUAUCAACAGUGUAAAUUUUGCACGAGGAAGAACAAUCAUUUUAUGGAUAACGAAGUACCUGGCAAGGAGGUUUCUCAGGGGCUGGCCCGAGAGUCACUUAUUGCUAUCUCUCAGUCUAUACCAGAUAAGAUUAUUGUCUCGAAGCUCUCCUCUGAAAAUUUGAAUAGCAGCAAUGCAGUUGAAGUGAAUGAUAGUGACGGAGCUGAAAAGUAUAGGUUGAAGCUGAUAUCAAUUUCCUACGUGCAGUCACCAGAUAUUAAGACCUAACCAGUUGCAUUAGGUAACCUUGAGGGUUAGCCAGACAGGAGGUUCUUCACCAUGAGAACUUAUUGAAAUAAUAGAUCCUCUGUUUUUUUUUGGUUGUUUUUAGAGCUACUAGUAAGUGAAUGGUUAUGGUAAAUGUUCUAUUAAUGUGGGCAUAAACAUAGAAAUUAAAAGUUAGACUAUGUGUAAAGAUGUAUCAUGUUCUUUACAGAGAUUUUUCUUGGGGACAAUGAAAGGAAAUGGAUUUUAGUUUUUGUUA